AUGUAAAACGUCACAUAGAACGUCCGGUCUCUAAGGGAACCGAGGUUACUGUAGUAACCGAUAUGUUUACACUCUGUUUAUGGUAAGGAGAAAAACAGGCAGGUGGCUCAACCGCUCCGCUAAAGAUCCACUGAUUCCGAUGAUCCACUUCGUGUUUUCUCGACCGCUCCGCAGCAUCUCUCCCAAAAUCUGGAGUGGAGGCGACCGUUCACGAAGUUCGUUGCAUUAACAGGACUGUUUCCUGAACAUGGGAGAGUACAGGAUGACUGGAUGUGCACAAAGGCUUCGCAUAAAAAGUGGAGCAAUUCCAACUUUGCAAGUACACUCUGGAUCUUCUGAUUCACAGUCUCGUUGCCAUGUCCGGUUGCCAGGUCUCUUCCAAACAUGGUAAGGCACGUCACAUUUCCGUUUGCACACUUGAGGUAUUCGGCCAAUCGUAACGCACCGGAUAGCUGGCCAAUCUCGUCACACAUCGCUUUCUCAGAACGAUGAGCUUUGUACAAAUCGUCGCUUUUCAAAAAGGCGGGGCAUAGAGGAAUAACAAUAAUGUUACGGUAUGUGGAAUAUAAUAUGUUUUUGAACCAUAAACCACGCAAACACAUUGCAUUACACCAAAUACACAAUUCACGAGUUCGCAUUAACAUGUAAUCGAUAGGGAAUGAGAUAAAGCAUUUUUGGCGUGCUGUUCGAGGAGAGGGCUCAGAGCUCAGAAUUUUAGCCCGAACCCAGAGUACUCCCCUCUCUUUAACUGGGGUUGCCAGCGGGCGUUAAAUAAAUGCUGCAAAUCAUGGUAUAAGAUUAAUGUCAACUUUGCCAGGUCUACCUAGCAGGUUUUUUAUUUUACGGGCUGGUUCGAAAAAAGAAAAAAAAUGCUUAAAUGAAGAUUAAGAGAUUACCUGGUGCGGCAUGUUUUAUACAGCUCGGGAUCUGCAGAGGCAGAUUGGGAUAAUAACAUAUUUACCGGGAUCCUGGGACAGAAUUAAGCCAUGAUUAAUGUCAGACAUCAUUUAAAUGGUGAAAUCAGCGUCAUAGAUAGCUCCACCAUCGACUAGAAAGAACAAAUCAACUGGCAGGUGACAAAUAUUAGAUUUUGAAAUAAAUAUUUUUUUAUAUAUUUGGCAAUAUAUAAAAGUUUUUGAGGAAUUAUACAUUUUUUGGAGAUUGGAAAUGGAUGUUCCUGAGUGUUAAGUUGUGUUUUUUUAGUACGGACCUGCAAAACGUAACUGUAACAUAAGGUGACCAGAUUUUUAAAAUGAAAACCGGGGACAUUUCCUAGUUAAAUGGUCAAAAUAUCAUUAAAAUCUCGUUUGUUGUUAUCUAUGAAUUAAAAAAUGUGUUGUGGGUUCACAGCAAAAAAUGACUUACUUCUUACUUAAUAGUAUUUUUGUCUUAUUUUCAGUACAAAUAUCUAAAAAAUCUUAAAUCAAGAUGCAUUUUCUUGAUAAGCAAAAUCCUCUAAGAA